GACGAACGCUGGCGGCGUGCCUAAUACAUGCAAGUUGAGCGCUGAAGGUUGGUACUUGUACCAACUGGAUGAGCAGCGAACGGGUGAGUAACGCGUGGGGAAUCUGCCUUUGAGCGGGGGACAACAUUUGGAAACGAAUGCUAAAACCGCAUAAAAACUUUAAACACAAGUUUUAAGUUUGAAAGAUGCAAUUGCAUCACUCAAAGAUGAUCCCGCGUUGUAUUAGCUAGUUGGUGAGGUAAAGGCUCACCAAGGCGAUGAUACAUAGCCGACCUGAGAGGGUGAUCGGCCACAUUGGGACUGAGACACGGCCCAAACUCCUACGGGAGGCAGCAGUAGGGAAUCUUCGGCAAUGGACGAAAGUCUGACCGAGCAACGCCGCGUGAGUGAAGAAGGGUUUCGGAUCGUAAAACUCUGUUGGUAGAGAAGAACGUUGGUGAGAGUGGAAAGCUCAUCAAGUGACGGUAACUACCCAGAAAGGGACGGCUAACUACGUG
rnacentral:rRNA from 1 species